GACGAACGCUGGCGGCGUGCCUAACACAUGCAAGUCGAACGGAGUGGCGAACGGGUGAGUAACACGUGGGUGAUCUGCCUUGCACUUCGGGAUAAGCCUGGGAAACUUGGUCUAAAACCGGUUAGUGCAAGAUGAGCUCGGGGCCUAUCAGCUUGUUGGUGGGGUAAUGGCCUACCAAGGCGUCGACGGGUAGCCGGCCUGAGAGGGUGUACGGCGACAAUGGGACUAAGAUACGGACCAGACGCGAACGGGAGGCAGCGGUGGGGAAUAUUGCACAAUGGGCGGAAGCCUGAUGAGGCGGCGCCGCGUGGGGGAUGAAGGGCUUCGGGUUGUAAACUCCUUUCGACAGGGACGCGGUACCUGUAUAAGAAGCACCGGCUAACUACGUGCCAGCAGCCGCGGUAAUUC
rnacentral:rRNA from 1 species